ACUCCUACGGGAGGCAGCAGUGGGGAAUAUUGCACAAUGGGGGAAACCCUGAUGCAGCCAUGCCGCGUGUGUGAAGAAGGCCUUCGGGUUGUAAAGCACUUUCAGUAGGGAGGAAGGUAGUGUAGUUAACACCUGCACUAUUUGACGUUACCUACAGAAGAAGCACCGGCUAACUCCGUGCCAGCAGCCGCGGUAAUACGGAGGGUGCGAGCGUUAAUCGGAAUUACUGGGCGUAAAGCGCAUGCAGGCGGCCUGUUAAGUCAGAUGUGAAAGCCCGGGGCUUAACCUCGGAAUUGCAUUUGAAACUGGCAGGCUAGAGUCUUGUAGAGGGGGGUAGAAUUUCAGGUGUAGCGGUGAAAUGCGUAGAGAUCUGAAGGAAUACCAGUGGCGAAGGUGGCCCCCUGGACAAAGACUGACGCUCAGAUGCGAAAGCUGGGGGAGCAAACAGGAUUAGAUACCCUGGUAGCACAGGG
rnacentral:rRNA from 1 species